rnacentral:rRNA from 1 species
UCGAAAGACCUUAUGCUUUUGGAGCGGCCGAUGUCUGAUUAGCUAGUUGGUAAGGUAAUGGCUUACCAAGGCAACGAUCAGUAGUUGGUCUGAGAGGACGACCAGCCACACUGGGACUGAGACACGGCCCAGACUCCUACGGGAGGCAGCAGUGGGGAAUUUUGGACAAUGGGCGCAAGCCUGAUCCAGCAAUGCCGCGUGAGUGAAGAAGGCCUUCGGGUUGUAAAGCUCUUUCAGUUGAGAAGAAAAGAUUGUGACUAAUAAUUGCAAUUCAUGACGGUAUCAACAGAAGAAGCACCGGCUAACUACGUGCCAGCAGCCGCGGUAAUACGUAGGGUGCGAGCGUUAAUCGGAAUUACUGGGCGUAAAGGGUGCGCAGGCGGUUCUGUAAGUCAGAUGUGAAAUCCCCGGGCUUAACCUGGGAACU